UAUUAUAUUAUUUACAAACUUCUUAAGUUGGUGAUCAUGCUUCCGAUAGCCACUGCCAGCGUUGAGAAGGUGUUUUCCUCAAUGAAAUACGUGAAGAAUUCACUAAGAAACAAAAUGGGUGAUGAAUAUUUAAACAAUUGUUUGGUUACAUUCAUUGAGAGAGAAUUCUUCAAGCAAGUGAAAGAUGAUAUUGUGCUACUAUGA
rnacentral:rRNA from 1 species